GAUGAACGCUGGCUGUGUGCCUAAUACAUGCAUGUCGAACGAAGCACUUGUGCUUAGUGGCGAAUGGGUGAGUAACACGUACUUAAUCUACCUCUAGGUUUGGGACAACAGUUGGAAACGACUGCUAAUACCGAAUAUUCCUUUUUCUCGCAUGAGAGAUUGGUAAAAGGAGCGUUUGCUCCGCUACGGGAUGAGAGUGCGGUACAUUAGUUAGUUGGUAGGGUAAUGGCCUACCAAGACGAUGAUGUAUAGCGGGGUUGAGAAGCUGAACCGCCACACUGGGACUGAGAUACGGCCCAGACUCCUACGGGAGGCAGCAGUAGGGAAUAUUCCACAAUGAGCGAAAGCUUGAUGGAGCGACACAGCGUGCAGGAUGAAGGUCUUCGGAUUGUAAACUGCUGUUAUAAGGGAGAAACACCAGACUAGGAAAUGAGUUUGGCUUGACGGUACCUUAUCAGAAAGCACCGGCAAACUAUGUGCCA
rnacentral:rRNA from 1 species